AAAAAAAUUUUUUUUAAAAGUUCUAGAACACACAUUUGUAUGCUGUAAUUUCCCACAAAUACAAUGAUGCUCCCAGUGUAAAGAUUUUAUGGUGUCUUGGAAGAGUCAAAUCUAGGGCUGGUCCAUUUCCGUUACAAAUUGGUUUGCUGGGCCUAUGUUGCCUUUAAGACCGUAUGGCAGUCCAGGACUGAAAAUUAAUCCCCAUCUAUGUGUACCAUUUGCAAAAGUAAACAACCCAUGGUAUUUAAAAUCAGGUAUGUCCAGUCUUCUUUAGUAACCACAAACCCCGGCCAAAGAUAGUGUUCAUGUUUUUUUCAUUCACACAAUAACUGCCCUUUCACAGAUUAUAUUAAAGGACCACUAUAGUGCCAGGAAAACAUACUCGUUUUCCUGGCACUAUAGUGCCCUGAGGGUGCCCCCACCCUCAGGGACCCCCUCCCGCCCGGCUCUGGAAGGGGGUAAAAACUUACCUUUUUCCAGCGCUGGGC